CCAUUCUCUCUAUAAUUCUCCUGUUCCCUCUCUAGGUUUCUUACUUCCUGGUCACAAAAUGGCUGCCGAAGUCCAUAAACUAAAUCCUAAUGUGAGUGAACAUGAUCAAGGAUUCAUGACCACUACCCCAAAAUACGGCACCUCUGCCUGUGUGGAAACAACAGAAGCAGGAAGAUUACUCUCAUUUUUCUCUGGCCUUUUUCCCUUGAAGCAGACCAUAAAGAAGAAUCUGACCUUCCUCUGAAGGAAACCUUCAUUCCAGACAUACCCUCCCUAUAUCCAAAGAACAUCUUUAUCUUUAAAGACACAGAGAUGCCAAGAAGAAUCUGAACAAACAGGCUUUGCCAGAUUCCCCAGUUUACUAAUAUUGGACCAUACUCUUUUGUUCUUCAAUCAUACUUCUGCAUGAUGUCCAUAAAAAUACACAGUUUUCCCCAUUCCUUUGGGUAUUUAUUCCUGAAAGCCUCUGUGUCA
rnacentral:lncRNA from 1 species